rnacentral:tRNA from 1 species
AGGCCUGUAGCUCUAAUUGGCUAGAGCAGCGGACUCCAAAUCCGCGUGAUGGGGGUUCAAAUCCCUCCAGGCCUGCCA